rnacentral:rRNA from 1 species
CCUGAUCAGCCAUGCCGCGUGUGUGAAGAAGGCCCUCGGGUUGUAAAGCACUUUCAGCGAGGAAGAACGCCUAACGGUUAAUACCCGCUAGGAAAGACAUCACUCGCAGAAGAAGCACCGGCUAACUCCGUGCCAGCAGCCGCGGUAAUACGGAGGGUGCAAGCGUUAAUCGGAAUUACUGGGCGUAAAGCGCGCGUAGGUGGCUUGAUAAGCCGGUUGUGAAAGCCCCGGGCUCAACCUGGGAACGGCAUCCGGAACUGUCAAGCUAGAGUGCAGGAGAGGAAGGUAGAAUUCCCGGUGUAGCGGUGAAAUGCGUAGAGAUCGGGAGGAAUACCAGUGGCGAAGGCGGCCUUCUGGACUGACACUGACACUGAGGUGCGAAAGCGUGGGUAGCAAACAGGAUUAGAUACCCUGGUAGUCCACGCCGUAAACGAUGUCGACCAGCCGUUGGGUGCCUAGCGCACUUUGUGGCGAAGUUAACGCGAUAAGUCGACCGCCUGGGGAGUACGGCCGCAAGGUUAAAACUCAAAUGAAUUGACGGGGGCCCGCACAAGCGGUGGAGCAUGUGGUUUAAUUCGAUGCAACGCGAAGAACCUUACCUACUCUUGACAUCCUGCGAAUUUGGUAGAGAUACCUUAGUGCCUUCGGGAACGCAGAGACAGGUGCUGCAUGGCUGUCGUCAGCUCGUGUUGUGAAAUGUUGGGUUAAGUCCCGUAACGAGCGCAACCCUUGUCCUUAUUUGCCAGCGCGUAAUGGCGGGAACUCUAAGGAGACUGCCGGUGACAAACCGGAGGAAGGUGGGGACGACGUCAAGUCAUCAUGGCCCUUACGAGUAGGGCUACACACGUGCUACAAUGGUCGGUACAAAGGGUUGCCAACUCGCGAGAGUGAGCCAAUCCCGAAAAGCCGAUCUCAGUCCGGAUCGGAGUCUGCAACUCGACUCCGUGAAGUCGGAAUCGCUAGUAAUCGUGGA